AGGCCUGGCCAAGGACCGAGAAGGGGAUCUAUGAAAGAAGACUCAAGUGGGGAUUGACAGAGCCAGAUUGGGUGGAGUCCAAGCUUUGGGCAGGUCUUCAGGCACCAUGGAGGACAAACGCAACAUCCAGAUCAUCGAGUGGGAACACCUGGACAAGAAGAAGUUCUACGUGUUUGGUGUGGCAAUGACAAUGAUGAUCCGUGUCAGUGUCUACCCAUUCACCCUCAUCCGCACCCGGUUGCAAGUUCAGAAGGGGAAGAGCCUCUACCAUGGGACCUUCGAUGCCUUCAUCAAGAUCCUGCGAGCAGAUGGUAUCACUGGCCUCUACCGAGGGUUCCUGGUCAAUACCUUCACCCUCAUCUCUGGCCAGUGUUAUGUCACCACUUAUGAGCUCACCCGGAAGUUUGUAGCUGACUACAGCCAGAGUAACACAGUCAAAUCACUG
rnacentral:sRNA from 1 species